AACUUUCUGCAACGGAUCACUUGGUUCUGGCAUCGAUUAAGAACGCAGCGAAAUGCGAUAAGUAAUGUGAAUUACAGAAUUCAGUGAAUCAUCGAAUCUUUGAACGCACAUUGCGCCCGCUAGUAUUCUGGCGGGCAUGCCUGUUCGAGCGUCAUUUCAACCAUCAAGCCCUAGGCUUGUGUUGGGGCCCUGCGGCUACCGCAGACCACGAAAUGCAGUGGCGGGCUCGUUGUCAUACCGAGUGCAGUAGUUUAUCUUCGCUCUGGAAUGAUGGCGGGUUCUUGCCGUUAAACAACCAACUUAUCAAGGUUGACCUCGGAUCAGGUAGGAAUACCCGCUGAACUUAAGCAUAUCAAUAAGCGGAGGCU
rnacentral:misc_RNA from 1 species